rnacentral:rRNA from 1 species
UACGGAGGGUGCAAACGUUGCUCGGAAUCAUUGGGCGUAAAGCGCACGUAGGCGGCCUGUUAAGUCGGAUGUGAAAUCCCUCGGCUCAACCGAGGAAGUGCAUUCGAAACUGGCGGGCUUGAAUAUGGAAGAGGGUCGCGGAAUUCCCGGUGUAGAGGUGAAAUGCGUAGAUAUCUGGAGGAACACCGGUGGCGAAGGCGGCAUCCUGGACCGGCAUUGACGCUGAGGCGCGAAAGCCAGGGGAGCAAACGGG